rnacentral:rRNA from 1 species
CUACGGGGUGCAGCAGUGGGGAAUAUUGCACAAUGGAGGAAACUCUGAUGCAGCAACGCCGCGUGGAGGAUGACACUUUUCGGAGCGUAAACUCCUUUUAUAUAGGAAGAAGAUGACGGUACUAUAUGAAUAAGCGCCGGCUAACUCCGUGCCAGCAGCCGCGGUAAUACGGAGGGCGCAAGCGUUACUCGGAAUCACUGGGCGUAAAGAGCGUGUAGGCGGAUUAAAAAGUCAGAAGUGAAAUCCUAUAGCUUAACUAUAGAACUGCUUCUGAAACUCUUAAUCUAGAAUGUGGGAGAGGGAGAUGGAAUUUCUGGUGUAGGGGUAAAAUCCGUAGAGAUCAGAAGGAAUACCGAUUGCGAAGGCGAUCUACUAGAACAUUAUUGACGCUGAGAUGCGAAAGCGUGGGGAGCAAACAGGAUUAGAUACCCGUGUAGUC